GAUGAAGAACGCAGCGAAAUGCGAUAAGUAGUGUGAAUUGCAGAAUUCAGUGAAUCAUCGAAUCUUUGAACGCACAUUGCGCCCUUUGGUAUUCCAAAGGGCAUGCCUGUUCGAGCGUCAUUUGUACCCUCAAGCUUUGCUUGGUGUUGGGCGUCUUGUCUCUAGCUUUGCUGGAGACUCGCCUUAAAGUAAUUGGCAGCCGGCCUACUGGUUUCGGAGCGCAGCACAAGUCGCACUCUCUAUCAGCAAAGGUCUAGCAUCCAUUAAGCCUUUUUUUCAACUUUUGACCUCGGAUCAGGUAGGGAUACCCGCUGAACUUAAGCAUAUCAAUAAGCAGAGGA
rnacentral:misc_RNA from 1 species